rnacentral:rRNA from 1 species
GAUGAACGCUGGCGGCGUGCUUAACACAUGCAAGUCGAACGGUGAACACGGAGCUUGCUCUGUGGGAUCAGUGGCGAACGGGUGAGUAACACGUGAGCAACCUGCCCCUGACUCUGGGAUAAGCGCUGGAAACGGCGUCUAAUACUGGAUACGAGUAGCGGCCGCAUGGUCAGUUACUGGAAAGAUUUUUUGGUUGGGGAUGGGCUCGUGGCCUAUCAGCUUGUUGGUGAGGUAAUGGCUCACCAAGGCGUCGACGGGUAGCCGGCCUGAGAGGGUGACCGGCCACACUGGGGCUGAGACACGGCCCAGACUCCUACGGGAGGCAGCAGUGGGGAAUAUUGCACAAUGGGCGAAAGCCUGAUGCAGCAACGCCGCGUGAGGGAUGACGGCCUUCGGGUUGUAAACCUCUUUUAGCAGGGAAGAAGCGAAAGUGACGGUACCUGCAGAAAAAGCGCCGGCUAACUACGUGCCAGCCGCCGCAGUAACAC